rnacentral:lncRNA from 1 species
CUAACCCAUCCUCAAUUAACUUUGGAACAAAUUUAGCUAGUUUGGUACAUUUAGCUUCAUAUUCUACAACAGUCAUAUUCCUUUGUUUUAGAUGAAUAAAUUCUUACUCUUUGUGUCCUUACACUCCGAAAAAAUACUUAUCAUAGAAUGCUGAAUCUUUCCCAAGUGAGUGACUCUCUAUCUUGCUCAUAUUUGUGUUCCAUCAUCCGCCACCAGUUGGAUGCCUCACCUUGCAAUAUGUAUGAUGCAUAAAGAAUCUUUUCAUCAUCUCGACAUCUAAACAUCGAAUGUUUUCUCUAUCUCUGUAAGCCAAUUGUCAGCUUCCACAGGUUCCGUAGUCCCCUUGAAAGCUAGAGGAGUCAGCUUCUUGAACUCAGCUAUGUUACUACGCUGCUCGCACGGCUCCCCUCGUCCUUGCUGUUGUAUGCAUGGUGCAACUGUGUUUGCUGUUGUUGAACCUAUUGUUGUUAGAGCAACUGCUGCUGCAACUGCUAUCGCAUCUGCAUCAUACCAACUACGGUCUGCAUAACCUGGCCUGAGCCCACUUCUUGUUGUUCUAUCUGAGUAUUUUUGGUAGGAUUGACAACUCCUUUCUGCUUAGGGGUGCCACUAACCUGUUGGAGUGUGCUGCUAUCUUGCUGGUUUGGUGCCUCAUUAGUAGCACCACUAGUAGUCUUUCUCAUCCGACAUGGAGGCAUCCUAACCUUUCUUCAUCAGAUAGUAGCAUACCCAAAUAAGCUUGUUAGUCAAUUUCAAGUUAUUUAGGAUAAUUUGUCACAAUCAUCAUAAACUAACGUCCCAAUGUCCCU